UACACUGUAAUGAAUUGCUGUAAAAAUUACAGCAUUAUUUUACAGCCGCGGACUGUUUUUUAAUAAUACAGCAUAUUGCUGUAAACUGCAAUGCAUUCUGGGGUCACGUGUAGGUCUGACUCAAAUUUACAGAAUUUUGCUGUAAAUUUCAAAUCUUCGGAGCCGCAUCGUCAACGGUCGAGGAGAUUAACGUUAAAGACAAGAGGAGUGAUUCACAACUGUGGUAAGUGACUUCAGUUUUUUAUAUUUCUUGUUUGGUAGUUUAUAGUAUAUGAAUGCAUCUACAUUCGCGGAUUAUAUUGGUAACCCCAGAUUCAAGCAUCAUCCGUCCGCGGGGCGCGAGGCAGAAUUGCGCGGGGUUUCAGUAGCGCGGUCGCGGUAGGAUUUCACACAUCCCCCGGCGCUAUAGCAGCCAUGGACAGAAAAUCUCUGGAAUCCUUCGUUAUGAAUGACAUGUUUCAGUGCUAAUAGUUUAUAUUCACUGUAACUUAGUGUUUAUCAGCACACUUCGUCGUGAUUAUUUUAUGAUGUAAAACAACUUUGCACAUGCAGUCAUCUGUUAACACGGGCGCCGAAAUAAAACGCGUUUCUAAAGCCUCGCGGUCAGUCAGGGUCGCUCACGGAGGAUGUGUGUGUCAUAUAAAUUCUCAGUGGUGCUUUUCUAAGAGGUUAAUGUAACCAGUGAGAUGUAGAUUUUUUUUGAGCAUUUGCUAACUUCAGGUAACGUUAAUGUGAAAACUUUAACAAAUCUGUUUGAUAUAAAGUCUGCUUUGUAUAGUUAGCCUAAUUUAUUACCUUAGGGCGACCAAAUACGUUUUCCUUGAAAUUAUUAAAUAUGCUAUUUAUAUAUAUGUGUCUAUAUUUAUGUCGGCCGGCAAAUCUUGUGUGUAUUUUGGCACAGGGUGCACAAAGGCACCUUAUCAGUGCGGUGACACUUGAACAAAUGAACUGAUCAUGCGCGACACUGACCAAUAAACAAACGAGUUGUUUUAUUGCGUCUAUGACUUGAAUCUUAUCAUCAGUUGUAGUGAUGGGAAGUUCGGAUCAUUUUACCGAAUCGGACUUUUGAGUCUCGUUCAGCAAAAUGAACGAAUCUUUUUUCGAGUCAUUUCAAAUGAACGAACAACCAGAAGGUUCAGGAAGAAAAAAACAAAGUGCUUGCAGUCUGUUUCACAUUAGGAGGCAUUUUGCUGCAUAAUCGAUCCACCACAAACCAUAUGCAACUAUGGAAGCUCAACUUCCAUUAAAUGGACUGAAAACGCUCAAGUAACGUUAUAGGUCUCAAAACGCUUGCUCUGCGCCAGUGGAUACACACCAUAGACAGUAAAAGAAAUAUGUGCAUGUCACAGACUGUCUGGGCAUGCACUUCCGCGUUUCAGAGAUCCGCCUUUUACUUUCCGUCAACAUUACAUUAAUUAACGUUUAGAAAAUUUAUUUUUGACAUUUGUGAAUCAGUUCAGAAUCGUCUGCUUAUGCAUUGCGAUACAUUUAAGAAUCACAUUUUUAUCCCACCCCUACUAAAUAUAGAGACACUUUGACAAGUGGGCACUGGAUGCUGAGUAUUGAAGGCGAGGUGGUGUGUGAGGGCACUCAGCCCAGUGUCCUGUCCGGCCUUGCCACUCUGUUUGCUGCUUAUUACUUGUUUAAUCUUGAGUAUCAGGAGGAAGCAGUGUGUACCUUGGAGUUCAUUCAAAGGUGCUUUGUGGGCAUAAAUCCAGAGAGAGGACCCAAAGCCAAGGGAAAAGUGCCAUCGAAAUAAAAACAGGACAAGUGAUACAGAAGAAAAUGUGUGGCAGUCAACCCACAUGUUGCCACUCUUCUGUGCAAAUUCCAAUGAAAUUUCUGAAAUGUAAGGAUACACACACACCAAGAUUGCGUCUUCCUUUUAUUGUUCUCUAUCUGCCUUUGACUGUACCUCUCAUCCCUCUGUCUCUCUCUGACUGUACCUCUCAUCCCUGUAUCUGUCUCUGACUGUAUCUGUCCUCCCCCUAUUUGUUUCUGAAAGUAUUAUUAUGUUUUGUAAUAUAUCUAAUGUAUUGUCCUCUUUGCUCUUUUCAAUAUUUCUAGUCACACUUUGAAUCCUAGGAUGGAACUUCAUCUGGAGCAUAAUUGUUAUUUGGUUGAUUUUUAUCUGUUUGAUGGAAAGUUUGUAUGACUUCUGCAAGUGCGCGGCUCCUUCCGGUCAGUCAUGCAUCACUUUUUUUUGUAUGACUUGUUUGGCAAUAUUGGUCUAUUCCUUAAUGAUGAUAGCUAUCUGAAAAUGUCUUUGUGGUUUUUAAAGGAUUAGUUCACCCAAAAAUGAAAAUUAAGUCAAUAAUUACUUAUGUCGUUUCACACCCGUAAGAUCUUCGUUCAUCCUCACAACACAUAAUAAGAUGUGGCUCAGUGAAGCGUGCAUUUCUAGCAAGAUCAUUUCUUUUUUUCAAUGCCCAGAAAGCCUCUAAAACAUUUAAAACAAUUCAUGUGACUACAGUUGUUCAACCUAAAUAUUAUAAAGCGACGAGAAUACUUUUUUUGCCAACCCCCCCCCCCCCCCCAUCUCCCAAAACAACGAUUUUAUUCAACUAUAUCUAGUGAUGGGCGAUCUCAAAACACUGCUUCAUGAAGCUUAGAAGCUUUACGAAUCUUUUGUUUCAAAUCAUUUGCUCAGAACGUGUAUCAAACUGCAAAAGUCACACGAACAAUUGAAAUUUCAAAACACUUAUGACGUAACGAAGCCUCAUUUACUGAAAUCAUGUGACUUUGGCAGUUUGAUAUGCUCUGAUUUGAACUGAAAGAUUAAUAAAGCUUUGAAGCUUCAUGAAGCAGUGUCAUCCAUCACGAGAUACUGUUGAAUAGUCAUUAUUUAGUUUUUUGGCACACAAAAAGUAUUUUCAUUGCUUCAUUACACUAAGGUUGAACCACUGUAGUCACAUAAACUGUUUUAAAUAUGUUUUUAGUACCUUUCUGGGCAUUGGAAAGGGAAAUGAUCUUGCUAGCAAUGUAGGCAUCACUGGGCCAUCAGGUUUUAUAAAAAAUAUCUUAAUGUGUGUUGUGAAGAUGAACAAAGGUUUUAAGGGUGUGGAAUGACAUGAGGGUGAGAAAUGACAGAAUUUUCACUUUUGGGUGAACUGUUUUAAUAUGACCAUGUUGGUCAUGUUUCGGUUAUAACGCAGUUUGAAUAUUUCUUUGUGUCAAGGUCCAUGAUGGCCAUUAUGUUCCAAGUAAUAAAAAAGAAAUCAUGCCAAAAUUUCAUAUCCAUUUAAAAAAAAAUGAAAUAAUUUUAAAAUAAAUAAAAAUGAGUUCAAAAUAA